rnacentral:rRNA from 1 species
UACGGGGGGGGCAAGCGUUGUUCGGAAUUACUGGGCGUAAAGGGCUCGUAGGUGGCCAACUAAGUCAGACGUGAAAUCCCUCAGCUUAACUGGGGAACUGCGUCUGGGACUGGUCGGCUUGAGUGCAGGAGAGGAACGCGGAAUUCCAGGUGUAGCGGUGAAAUGCGUAGAUAUCUGGAGGAACACCGGUGGCGAAGGCGGCGUUCUGGACUGCAACUGACACUGAGGAACGAAAGCCAGGGGAGCAAACGGG